UACGUAGGGCGCAAGCGUUGUCCGGAAUUACUGGGCGUAAAGGGCUCGUAGGUGGCCAACUAAGUCAGACGUGAAAUCCCUCGGCUUAACCGGGGAACUGCGUCUGAUACUGGAUGGCUUGAGUUUGGGAGAGGGACGCGGAAUUCCAGGUGUAGCGGUGAAAUGCGUAGAUAUCUGGAGGAACACCGGUGGCGAAGGCGGCGUCCUGGACCAACACUGACACUGAUGAGCGAAAGCCAGGGGAGCAAACGGG
rnacentral:rRNA from 1 species